CCUUCAUCACGUUGAGCUUCCUCAAUAAAUAUUACUCCCUGUUUUUAUAUUUUUAUUUUAUAAAGUAGAAAAGAAAUAUUUAUUUUAUUUUUAUGCCACCACAGUGAAGGUACUUAUGGGUUUUACGCCACUCGUAUACUCACAUGGGGCUUAGUAUUUUUUAACAUUUUUAUUUUCUUUUCAAGAUAGCAUGAUUAACUAAUAAUCUAUUUAAGGAAAGUAAAUAAUUAAAGGGAAAAGGGAAUGCAGAAAGGAUAAAUAUGGAUAACUACCAAUCUUACCUUUCGGCCAGGGUUCAAUGUUUUAAGUCUUCUUGACAAGACUUCUCACCGUGUUCAUUCUUCAGGUGCGUCAUUUGAUUCAGGUGCGGACCUUGACGUCUGCACCUUUUAAUACGGUGUCACCUAUGUUCUUUGUUUGCCCAGCUGUUCGAAGUGCGGUGUUAGCAGUAUCUUGCUCAGUGUGUUUGUGCUCGUAGUGUAUCUGCUCAUAGAGACAAGGCAGAGAUCAAGUGCAUGGGCCCUGUUGGUGGAAAACACCAACAGAACCAAAAGUGUAUUUGUUCUUCUCUAACCUUAAGCAUAGUGAGCAAGACAAGUUGAUGGAUGAUAAGUUCAUGAGUAUAGCACUUAUAACAAUUGUCAGAUCAGAUCACUCAACCUUAUGGAAAGAUAAUCUAUCUAUGUAUAUGUCUUUUUCUUUAUAUCUCUCAAUGAUUGAAUGUGUAACAUUUUAGCUCAUAUGAUUAGGAGUGUGGGAUCAUGGAGGUAGUACUAAGAACAAGGAUUAAAGGACUAAACAUGUUGAAUCAGUUGGGUUGGUUAAUCUAGAGUUGUAAAUCAUACACGUUUGUCUCUUUUAUUUAUAUGAAUGCCAGAACCAAGGAGAAGCUUAUAAAAGUGAUAGUCAAGUACCUUAAGAUGUUACCUUGCUCGAAGAGUGAUGGUACAGUAUCAUCUUGUGGAAGCUUUCCUUUCUUAGCGGUUGUGCGUCUUGUUUAUGUACUUUGUCUCCUUCCAUGGAUCAUCUCUGUAUGGUGAAUGAGCUAUGUCCUUCUUGUGCGAAUUGUUAAACUUCAUGUGUUGCUCUCUUCAUCUCUGAUGUGAGUUUAUCUCAGGACUUCCCAAAUUGAUAUUGAAAGUUUUUCUGCAGGGGUUAGUCCGACAAAAUAUACCAAUAUCUACUCAAGCAGUUUUUUAGUUCAAUAACCAAACUAGACGCCAUGUCUAAUCAGAUUAAGGAAGGCUAUUUAACCUAAGCACCAUGCUUAAUUUAAAUGCCAAUGGAAGUAUGGCGAGUACUUCCAAACCAACACUUGCUAGUAAAUAGACAAAGGUAGCAUGACAGCGUUUAUAGAGAUCUACUCAAGUGGAGAUGAAGUAGUGUGAUUAGUAUUUAACAAAUUGAGCAUGUCUCAAAGGUAGGGACAACCAGCAUAGCAACAUGGCAAAGGAUGUUUUUAUGUAAAGUACUCCCCCAAGCUUGAAUUUUGCAAAAUUCAAGUUUGGAUGAAUUUAAUUCAAUGUUGUAUGAUGAUUGGUUGGACAUACCUUGUGCUUGUCAUUCAUCCGAUCUUCUUGCUCCAAUCUUAGAAAGGUUAGUGACAAGAAUACCCGAAGGAAUAUUUUUUUUUACAAUUAUCCUUAUAUGCUUAAUACACAAGGUAAUGUUGCAAAUAAUUAAAGGCUCAUGUUACGAUCUGAUCAAUGCUUAUUUUAAGACACUAAGCUUGUCCUUGGGAAACCAUCAGUUUAUGUUGGCGAAGUGGUUUCCCCUCCGACGCCAACCUAUUUCUAGAUCAACUCAACGAGAUCUGCAAUAUUUAUUAUAGACAUAUGCAUCGACAACCGCCCUUUUAAAGUUUUUAUAAAUAGAAAGGAAGAGGGGGUUGGAGAUCUCAAGUGUGGUGAUGUCGGAGAGACCAAUAGAUUGGGAAGAUGUUGCAUAUGAGCAUGGAGUAAACAAAGUGGCUAUGAAAUAAAUUCCAUGCUCAUUAAUGUUAUCUUCGUCUCCAAUCUGAAUGUUCAGAGUUUCUCCUAGAUUGGUCUCACCUAUGUCCUCUUCUGUAGUUGGAUGAAUCUCAUCUUCAAAAGGAGUCAAGAACUCACCAUUUGAAAUUGAGCCAAAGUCAGAACCCAUUAAGGCUUCUUCCUUAUCCAUCCAUUCUACACAUUCUAGCCAUUUAGAACUUGUGAUCAAAAUAGGGGAGGUGUUAGAAUUUUCUAUAUGGCUUAGCUCUCCUUCACUUGAUAUGUCAUCCUCGACUUCUUCAUGAUAGGAACCAGGACAUUCUCUAAGAGAAACAUUAUUGCAAUGAUUUGAAUUAUCCCUGCUUGAAGGUCUCUUAUAAAACCAGAAGUCUAAACCAUCAGCAUCUAAAAGAUUUAAGGUCGGAAUUCCUUCCUCCCUUGGAGAAUUUUGGGGUAUUGAAGGUUUAGGAUCGAUAGCUAAAGUUCGGGAUUGAAGUGGUUGUGAUCUGGCUAUCGAAACUUCUUCUUCUUGUCUAGGAACUGGUUCUUUCUCUUUCUCAGGGAUAUAAAAGCUAGGAGACUUUCCGCUCAUUAAAUCAAUCAAAUUCCAAGCUUCACUAGCGGAUAGGUGGUGGAAGGAUCCUCCAGAGGCCGCAUGAAGGGUUUGCUUAUUUUCCCUACUAAGGCCCUCAAAAAAGUGAAUUAGAAGAACUUCUUCUGGAAUAGAAAGUUUUGGGCCAGUGAGAGUAAGGUUAAUAAAGCGGUCCCAUGAUUUGCCAAGAGAUUCUUCUUCCAGUUGUCUAAAAGAAAGAAUCUCACGCCGAAGUUCCACCACUUUGGAGAUUGGAAAACAUUUAGAAAGAAAACUACUAUAUAACUCCUUCCAAUCUCCAUGAACACUCCCUACUUUGAGUUUAUACCAAUGUCUAGCUUUUCCCGUUAAAGAGAACGGAAAGAGCUUCCAUUUAAGGGUCUCAUCGGACAUGCCUUCUAUGCGAAGGAGGUCACAGACUCGAUAAAACUCUCUUAGGUGUGUGUAUGGGUUUUCCUCACCUUCUCCUGAGAAAGGUUGUUUUUGAAUAAAUUCUAUGUAUUCGGGGUCUAUCUCAAAACUAGAUGCUAUGAUAGGCUUUGAAGAUUUUGGUGGUUCGAGAUGUGUGCCCAUAGGUCUAUGAAAUUCAUAGAUAGACAUGUUUGAAUUCAUAAUAGACCAGAGAUCAAGGAUUAGAUAAGAAGAAAGAAUAGCAGAGAUGAGGCAAAGGAUAAAAGGAAAAUAUUUUUAUUAUUAUUUUUUUUAUAAAAUGAUUAAACUAGUUCGUAGUCAACUCAGCAACCGUUUCCCCGGCAACGGCGCCAAAAAUGCUUGUUGACACUUGCUAACACCACUUGAAUACUAGGUUGUCAUCCCCAGCAUGGCACUAGAGUGUACUAUGGUAUUUAUACGCACACAGAUAAUCCGCAAGCGCACGGAUACCGUUGAAGCUUUUACCCGGUUAAAGAUUUUAUCGUAUCCACAGGGAAACGGGAGAACUGAUCUACGCUCUAACUUAACCAAGAUAAGUAAAUAGGUGUGAAUAGGAAAGAUGGUAGAAUCGAAUAAGAACAAUAUUAAAGGUAAGAUAACAGUGAGUGAUAAUAUGGGAAUAGAGAGUAGAGCAAUUCUAGUAUAUGGGCGAUGGUAGCAGAAUAGAGAGGAUAACUAUGGUUUCUCUACUUCAAAGGGGUAUGUCUAUGUCUGGGACGAACCGCGUGAUAAGAGUACACCACAAAGGAUGCUUAUCCAUAGGCCGAUAAACCCUACCCGUCCUGCUAACGAGAGGUGGACUACAGGGGACCAACGUAACUGUCACCUACGCGGCCUACCACACGAUCCAGCUAGCCAGGGGAUAUCCACAAGUAAUCUAGGUCUAAGCACCACGCUUACACCUAUACUACAACUCUAACCUAUAGGGUCCUAUAGAUUAGAAGUACUCAAAAGAGUUGUGAACCAGAACAUACAUGAUUAGUAAUUGCAUAAUGAAUUAGAAGUAGAUUACCAGAGUCAUCCCAUGAGCAAGCUUGAUUAGAGCUUGAUCAUGACGAAGUACAACCGGAGGAAGAACCGACAGGCCGGCCUCUCCUCUAAUCCUCCUUCGCUCUCCAUCUCGCUACUAUCUAGAUCUACUCUAGUUUAGAGAAGAGAGGAGAGCUCUCAUCUCUAAACCCUAGGUUUUGCUCUGUCUAUGAAUAAUGAAUAAUGAUCAAGGGGUGCCUCUUCUAGGGGCCAGGGGGUCUACUUUUAUAGUCCCCUCAAGUGAACCUGGGCCGUCGGAUCAAACCGACAUUGAUUGAACGGUUAUUCUUGAUCCUUUAGGUCGGUGGAGCAUAAUCCGCGAGAUUGAGCAUGAUUGGCCGAAAAAGGUGGGCGGGCGCCCUAAGGACUUGGGCGGGCGCCCUGUCCCUGACUCCGUUCGGUCUCCGCUUCCUUCCCGUGGCUUCUGGAGUCUUCUAGAUGUAAUAUAAUUGCGCGGCACGUUGAUAUCUCUAUGUAAUCCCGACGUGUGGGUCUUUCUUCCUUAUUUCCUGAUAAUCCCCUGCAGAAAUAGACAAACACCAAAACUCGUGGAAUUCUGUCAGAUAAAACCCUAAGUCUUGAUGUUGAUUUCAUUUGGAUCCUUUUCUUUGUUUAUUUGAUAGUUAAAUUUGAUACUUAAGGACCGUCAACAAACUCCCCCAAGCUUACCUCUUGCUCGUCCCUGAGCAAGGAUAGACUCAGCAAUGGAUCAGAAGUUGUUGCAAUAUCUUAAAAAUUUGACGGUAGACAUGCUUUUUAAAUAAGUUCUCAUCUCUGAGUUAGAGUAAACUGUCAAGAACUAAAACUUACUUACUUUACCUUUCACCAUGGGACUUGUAACCGUCACUUCUGUCUUGAGUAGUUAAAAGAUAGAACAGUCUAGCCAAGUGCCAUGUCUCUUAUUCUUGAUCACCUAUAGCUCUGGAGUUUUUGCAGAUUUUCAAAUAAAACUCAGAGAUUCCUUUGUAUGACUCUCUCAUAUCUCUCUUUUGUGGUAUUUCUGGAUCCUUACCAAGGCAGUGAUGGUAUAUGCCUUCUCUCAAAAUAUGUGGUAUUUGUGGUAUAAGGCAUAGUGACAUUGCCUUCUCUCUCACCCUACUCUAAUAAGGCUUUAAUAUCUGGAGCUCAUAGGUGGGAGAUAAGGUAUACAUACUUACAAGACAUUUAUUGUAUAGUCAAACCAUGGAUCCAAAGAAACAAAUCAAUAAGCCAAAUCAAGAUGUGCAUGUGUGGCGAAUGAAUGGUGUAUAGUGAUGAUGGUGAUAACAAUGGUGAAAGUCUAAUUCUACUUUUGCUCUUAUGAGGGGAUACAUACAUUUCCUUUCUUUUUGAAACUUUAUGAGGAGAAUGAGAUGCUCUUCUUUUUCUUUCCUCUCAGGUGGGUAUCUUGUACCCCUAAUUCUACUGUCGGACACUUGUCCAUUUUUACCACUCGUCUCACUUUUUCUUUCUUUCGAGGUUCCGGGCACUUGCCCCUUUUUAUUUCCUCGUUUAUUAUUAUUUUUUUCUUUUCUUCUCUCUUGUUUUCUUCUUUUUUUUUCAGAGCACUCAUCUCCUAAAAUAAUGUAGCAAGUGGUAGUAACCAAAAUAACUGGAGCAUUUAUUUCACAGGGAAUAACAGGGAUAGGAAAAUGUUUUUGGCUAUUCUCUCCCGGAUUAGGAGUAGAAUGAUUUUGGGUGAAACUGGAGAUGGAAAUGGAUGGAUAUAUGUGGAUGGUACUUCCGAAGUAGAAGUAGCAUAUAUGAGUGAACGUGCAAGUGAAUCUUGAUUUAACCACAAGACAAGCUCCUAAGGGUCUACACAGCUUGACCACACUCAAUGCUCAUAAGCAGUAAAUAAAUGUGUGGCUCAAAGUCUAGCAAGCAUGUAUAUAUGGCUGUGGUAGGAAUUUAAACUUUCAUCAUACAGGAACUCAUCAUGCAAUAUUUUAAAGAUUUUCAAAGAUAAAAUUCUCCAGAAUUCUAGCAUCUCUAGGAAUAGAUAAACAGCAGCUCAACCUUCCCAUAUCAUAUCUGUUAACAACUUAGAUUUCAGAUCAAGUUUUCAUCCCACAAGUUUAGAUCUAGAGCAAGCUUUAAAUUAUAACAGUUAUGUCUAAACUUGAGAGAGAACUUCAAAUUUGCAAAUUAGGCAGAGCAACUAUUUAUCAUAUCCAUGCUAGAGUUUUAUUAUUAAGAUUCAGAUUAGCAUAGCCACUUUAUUUAUUUAUUAAACACACUAAGCAAAAGAUAUAUAUAUAAGCACAAAAUCUUUAUUUGGUUUUCAUAGUUUAUGUAUUUUAAUAUUCUAAUAUAAGUAUAAAGAUAGGUAGAAAUACUUAGCGAGAUAAAUGGGGGUGCUCUCCCCCAAGCUGAAUUUUGACGUAAUUUCUCUUGAUGUAGCUAGCAGGUGGCAGAGGUGUAUUUGAAAGUCAGCAGCAUUCUGACAGCGAUUAGAAUGUCCUCCGUCUGCUAGUUUUCUUGAUUCUUAAAUUCUGUGGAGUUCAAAUAGACAACAAAGCUUGUGGAACUAAUUAAGUGUUAGCAUAAAUAUCUAGCCUUCAUCACGUUGAGCUUCCUCAAUAAAUAUUACUCCCUGUUUUUAUAUUUUUAUUUUAUAAAGUAGAAAAGAAAUAUUUAUUUUAUUUUUAUGCCACCACAGUGAAGGUACUUAUGGGUUUUAUGCCACUCGUAUACUCACAUGGGGCUUAGUAUUUUUUAACAUUUUUAUUUUCUUUUCAAGAUAGCAUGAUUAACUAAUAAUCUAUUUAAGGAAAGUAAAUAAUUAAAGGGAAAAGGGAAUGCAGAAAGGAUAAAUAUGGAUAACUACCAAUCUUACCUUUCGGCGAGGGUUCAAUGUUUUAAGUCUUCUUGACAAGACUUCUCACCGUGUUCAUUCUUCAGGUGCGUCAUUUGAUUCAGGUGCGGACCUUGACGUCUGCACCUUUUAAUACGGUGUCACCUAUGUUCUUCGUUUGCCCAGCAGUUCGAAGUGCGGUGUUAGCAGUAUCUUGCUCAGUGUGUUUGUGCUCGUAGUGUACCUGCUCAUAGAGACAAGGCAGAGAUCAAGUGCAUGGGCCCUGUUGGUGGAAAACACCAACAGAACCAAAAGUGUAUUUGUUCUUCUCUAACCUUAAGCAUAGUGAGCAAGACAAGUUGAUGGAUGAUAAGUUCAUGAGUAUAGCACUUAUAACAUUUGUCAGAUCAGAUCACUCAACCUUAUGGAAAGAUAAUCUAUCUAUGUAUAUGUCUUUUUCUUUAUAUCUCUCAAUGAUUGAAUGUGUAACAUUUUAGCUCAUAUGAUUAGGAGUGUGGGAUCAUGGAGGUAGUACUAAGAACAAGGAUUAAAGGACUAAACAUGUUGAAUCAGUUGGGUUGGUUAAUCUAGAGUUGUAAAUCAUACACGUUUGUCUCUUUUAUUUAUAUGAAUGCCAGAACCAAGGAGAAGCUUAUAAAAGUGAAAGUCAAGUACCUUAAGAUGUUACCUUGCUCGAAGAGUGAUGGUACAGUAUCAUCUUGUGGAAGCUUUCCUUUCUUAGCGGUUGUGCGUCUUGUUUAUGUACUUUGUCUCCUUCCAUGGAUCAUCUCUGUAUGGUGAAUGAGCUAUGUCCUUCUUGUGCAAAUUGUUAAACUUCAUGUGUUGCUCUCUUCAUCUCUGAUGUGAGUUUAUCUCAGGACUUCCCAAAUUGAUAUUGAAAGUUUUUCUGCAGGGGUUAGUCCGACAAAAUAUACCAAUAUCUACUCAAGUAGUUUUUUAGUUCAAUAACCAAACUAGACUCCAUG
rnacentral:lncRNA from 1 species